rnacentral:rRNA from 1 species
AAAGGAAUUGACGGGGGCCCGCACAAGCAGUGGAGUAUGUGGUUUAAUUCGAAGCAACGCGAAGAACCUUACCAGGUCUUGACAUCCUAAGAAGAUUUCAGAGAUGAGAUUGUGCCCUUCGGGGAGCUUAGAGACAGGUGGUGCAUGGUUGUCGUCAGCUCGUGUCGUGAGAUGUUGGGUUAAGUCCCGCAACGAGCGCAACCCUUGUCAUUAGUUGCUACGCAAGAGCACUCUAAUGAGACUGCCGUUGACAAAACGGAGGAAGGUGGGGACGACGUCAAAUCAUCAUGCCCCUUAUGACCUGGGCUACACACGUACUACAAUGGCCGUUAACAGAGGGAAGCAAUACCGUGAGGUGGAGCAAAACCCUAAAAACGGUCUCAGUUCAGAUCGUAGGCUGCAACUCGCCUACGUGAAGGCGGAAUUGCUAGUAAUCGCAGAUCAGCAUGCUGCGGUGAAUACGUUCCCGGGCCUUGUACACACCGCCCGU